rfam:Sarcophilus harrisii ctg7180002511495, whole genome shotgun sequence.
CUGUUUCUGGCUUCAACAGUAUUUGGACAGAACAG